rnacentral:snRNA from 1 species
GGAUGUGAGGGUGAUCUGACCACCAGGGCCAAUUGGGCCAAUCAUGCUGGCUGGUGUGGUGACCCCCGUCCCCCUCACCGCUCCGUGUGCGCCCCUCCUGAAGCUGCGCUCUCCGUAAGAGCACGGCUUCCCCAAAUAAGGGACAGUUGGGGGCAUGUGAGGGGCUGUGGGCCCUUGCUGGAGCCUCCAAACAAGCUCUCAGCUCAGUAGUGAAAGGUUCGGACGUGGUGUCGUCCAGACGCGCUCACGUGCAUGCAGACAGCACACGCGCACACAACUUCGUGACUUCCCAUCUCAAGAGUGUCUGCCAU